UGGCUUCCGUGGCAGUGGUCGUGGUGGUUGGCAAUCCAAUCAAUGGGCUUUUCCUCCUUGCUUUUAGUGUGAUUUUUCCAACUCUCCAGGUCAUCAUGUUUAUACUUGCCCUCAUCGUCUUCCACUUGGCACGGCUUAUGAUCCUACUUGGUACUUUGAUAUGGGAGCCACUCAUCACAUGACUAAUAACGGAGCUGCUCUGUAGGACAUGUCUCCAUAUCUCGAUAACUAUUCUAUUUUUUUAGUAACGGGGCUUCUCCUCCUAUUGCUUACAAUGGCUUGAUGCGUAAAAUAACUAAACACACAAAUUAACCCUCUUGUUGACAAUUGUAGUAUGGAUAAGUAGGGAUUGUUCUUAAACCGGGGAUUAGGAGGGAUUGCUAAACACUCUAAACUGACUCAAAUAUGUAAAACAAAGUCUAAAAACACUAAAACAAACCAAAAGACUCAAAACCGCACAAAAACACUCAAAACUGCCUUUAAAACACUUUUUGGGCAGUUUUGAACUCUAACACAAACUUGGACGAAUUUGGGUUAUAACUUAAAUCAAAACACUUAAAAACACAAACUAAAUUGAUUUCUAACUAGUCUAACACUUUGAAAUAAUGGGGGAUUUGAUUUUGACGAAUUUGAAAACAAAACAAAACAGAUUUUAAACUAAGCAAAGUUUGAACGAAUUUGAAUAAAACUGAUAGGAGCAUAUUUAUGCAACUUAGUUAGCUUGUUUUCUUGCACUUUUAUAGUUAGUUUGUGGUUAUUAUAGUGUUUUAAGCUAUUUUCAUGUGUUUGUAGGUCUAAAUGACAAAGUUGGCGAGAAAGUGCAAUUUGGAGCCUUUUGAAGUAGUUUUGAGCAUAAAAUGGAUAUCACAUGCUUGGAGUCAAAUGGAUGGACGAAAUUGAAGAUCAAAGGAGGCAAGAAAUGAAGAAAUGAACAUGAAGAACAAAGAGUUCAGAAUUGGACACCAAAGUUUCUAAAGUUGGAAGUUGCUAUUCUUGGAGGUUUCCAUUCUUGAAAGUUUCUACUCUUGAAUUGGAAGUUUCCUAAUCCUUUUUCAGCUUUGUUCUAAGCCCAUGCCGCACCCUAGGGCCCUAAUCCUUUAUUUUCUGCUAAGUUUAAACCCUAAUCCAUCCACCCUAGGGUUGUGCCGCACCUAGUGUUCUAGAAGCCUAAAAAUCUGCAUAAAACCCUAAUUCUUUUCUCCCUUGGAUGGGCCAAGCCUUUUAUCUCCAAAACCCUAACCUUUUCCCAUCAGAUUUUGUGAAAACCCUAGCUUUGCCAUGCCUAUAUAUAUGUGUUUUUAAAGCCUAAAUUCGUCACCACCCUUAACACCAUUCAGAAACACCUUGCCGCAACCCUAGUCACCAUUCUACAUCACAAAACACCAUCCUACAUCCAUAUACAUCUCUGCCGCACCUUUUGGAGAAGAAGGAGAGCCUUGUCGUGCAUUCCAUUAAUGAAGGAGGGCCUUGUGCGCAAGCCAUCUGCAUCCUUGGGAGUUUUAAGAGUUCUUUCUUCCUUCGUUUCAGUUUCGAUGUUUAUUUCAAUUUGCUUUUCAAUUGAUAUGAACAUGUGGAACUAAAUUCUUAUUAGUUAGUGGUGAAUUUGAAGCCAUGGACAUAUGUUAAUCUGAAUUGAUUCCUUUCAGUUAUUGUUUCGUAAAAUAUGAAUGCGAUUUACUUAUCUAUUUGAUUGAUAACUUAUUCUUGUGUGUUGAUUAAGGCAGCCUACUUAGUUUUCAUGCUUGAAUCUGGUGCUAAAUUAUAAGGGACUUUCACCUAAUCGUUAGGAACUUAUAAUUACAAGUAGUGGAGAUUGUUAGUCACAAUCGUGUUAAGUAGAUUCUUGGCAAAAGUAUCAUGCAGUUCAUAGUUAUAAUUGCCUUGUCAAUGCUUAUGAUUUCCAUGGAAUUUAAUGAUCUUGAAUGUAUCUCUAUCAUGCUGUUCAUAUAGGGAACUUGAGAAGAAUAAUUUGGGUUGUUGCAUGCAUUCAUCCAAUUCAAUGAAUUGAGGGAAAUCUGAUAAUUAAUUUGUGCAUUCACGAUUAAUUUGGGGCAUUGUCGUUCAUGGUUUAAAGAAACAAUACUGGAAAUCGAUUUAUGUUGCAUAUGUUCAUGUGUGGAGAAGGAUCCUCUAACUAGUUUUUCACCCUUGAAUUCAUCUCAAUUUCGUUUUAGUUUACUUUGAUUUGCAAUUUGUUUAGUUUUAAUUCAAUUUCGUCAGAAAUCAAACACCCUUUUCUGUUUUAUGUUAUUAGGUCAUAAUCUGUCCUAAUUAGGUUCUUUAGAGUGUUUUGAGUCAAUAUAGGUUAGGUUUAGUCCAUAACCAUUGUUUGGGUCUCAGUUUAGUCUUAAAUUCGUCCAAUUUCAUCUCUAGAAUCUGUUUUGAGUCUAAUUGUUAGUAUUGUGCUGUUUUGAGUCUUUUAAGUGUUUUCUAAGUUAGUUAAGUUACAAUAUGUUUUCUUUUAAUCUUUUGAGUCAAAGUAGGUUUUAAUUUCGUCCAAUUCACUUGUUAGGUUUAGAAUUGAGUCAAUUUCACCUAGUUUUGCAGAUUUGAGUGUCUUAGGUCAGUUUAGAGUCUAUAGAGUCUAUUCUUGUGUUUUUAAGUCUAGUUUAGUGUUUUAGAGUUUAAUUUGAGUAGAUUAGCAGCCCUAGUUAAUCCCCGGUUUUAGAACGAUCCCUACUUACAUCUUUGCUACGUGGGAGGCAACCCAUGCAUUCAACAAAGGAAGCCCUAGGAAUCACUCCAAUUCCAGAUUUGCGUUCCUAAAACCCUUCUCUUUGUUGUUGUUUCUAAUCUGCCAUGUUAGUUGUUUAAGUUGUUGUUUGUUUAUUUACUUGUGUUUUGUGUGAUUUUAUGCUUGAAACAUUGAGGACAAUGUUUGAUUUAAGUGUGGGGGGGGGUAACUAAGUGUUUUAGAUGCAAAUUCGUGGGAUUUUAUCACCCUUAACUUGGAGACUUGUUCCUUGCUGUUUUUAAGUGUUUUUGAGCAGUUUUGAUGUGUUUUAGUGUGUUUUGAAGUAAAAAUCCGAAAAUCACAUAAAAAUUUGAAAAAUUUGUUUUAAAAACCCAAAAAGAGUUGUUUUUGUGUGUUUGUUUGUGUCUUAGGGUACCUUCCAACACAAUGAUGAGGAUUCGGUUUGUAAUUACAUGGCUGUUAAAGAAGAGUGAUUAACAUGGAUGAAAGUUUGAUUUACUCUUUGUUUAUGCUUGGUUGUGGUUAUAACUUAUGAAUUCACAUGCAAUCAUAAAAGAAAAAAAUCAGUUUUUGUAACAUGCUUGAAGGAAGGAACUCAAACUAACGCUACAACCUUGUGAGACUUGAGCCUAAACGUUUAUUUGGAGAGUUAAAAUCUGUGCAUUCUUUGUUUUCUAAAGUCGUUGCAUGAUCUCAUUAUUCUUUGCUUGGUUGCUACUUAGAAGGCGUUUCAUCAUUUAGUUCCAAAUGCUAGAACUCAUGCCCAUUUCAUUCAAAGCAUGUUAUUGAUUUGCAUAACACAUAUUCAAGAUGAAGUUGUGUAGUGACCACCACCUUAGCCAAAUGCCGUGUGCCCUAUGUCAUUAUGUGUUGUAGGUUUUAACCCCAUUGAGCCUUGUUAGCCUUCAUUAUUUGUUAACCCAUGUUUUCCUCACCUGGCCUAGUUAGGACCAUCCAUACCCUUGUUCUUAAAAGCAUAGUAAAGCAUGAUUCGAAUUGAAUUCCUUUUGAUUUAUGUUGGCAGAAACUAAGUGUGGGGGAAGUAUUUUUUUUUUUUUUUUUCGUGAGGAAUUGUGUGCCAUAGGCACGGCAAAGAAAAAAAAGAAAAAAAAAAAAUUCGUGGAAAAAGAAAAAAAUGAAAAAAGAGUUGAAAAGUUGAGAAAAAGAGUUCCAAAGUAUUGUUUGUUGAAGUAAGGGUCCAAAACAAUGAAUUCGGCCCUAAGGAGUUGUUUAAGUCUUCCCCUUGUGUUUUAAAGUUAAUUUCUGCAAUCUAAGUGAAUUCUAAGUCUCAAUUUCAUUGCUUUGCUUACUAUUGCUUGAAGAACGUUUGUUUUCCUUAUCCUUUCCUUGUUAGCCAAUACCCCAAGCCCCAUUACAACCCUUAACUUCUAUCUUGAGUGUUAUGUGUUUCAAUUUGUGGAGUUUGAAUUUGGUAUGAGCAUAUGGUGUCACUGGUUCUCGCAUCUAAGUAGUAGCAUUCCAUUCAUGAGAUCAUAUCUAAACAUGCUUCUUAACUCUAGAAAUUGCGUUCUUUGUGAUACAUAUAUGUGAGCAUUCGUUUUCAUAUCUACAUCAAUCUUCUCACAUAUGACUAGUGUAGGGUGUGUAGUUAGAAAAUCUGAG
rnacentral:lncRNA from 1 species